GGCAUGAUGGAAUUAUAAAGCUCAGGAGGGAUAGCGCCCGCUGCAAGACACGCCCGUAUCUCAAGUGGCGCUAUCCAUCCUGGGCUUCAUAAUUUCUUUAUACC
rnacentral:pre_miRNA from 1 species